rnacentral:rRNA from 1 species
GUGCAGCAGGCGCGAAAACUUUACAAUGUGCGAAAGCACGAUAAGGGAACUCUGAGUGCCUCCUAAGGAGGCUGUUCAGGUGUCUAAAAAGACACCUGAAGGAAGGGCUGGGUAAGACCGGUGCCAGCCGCCGCGGUAACACCGGCAGCCCAAGUGGUAGCCACGUUUAUUGGGUCUAAAGCGUCCGUAGCCGGCUGGGUAAGUUCCUUGGGAAAUUUGGCUGCUUAACAGUCAAGCUUUCAGGGAAUACUGCCCGGCUUGGGACCGGGAGAGGUCAGAGGUACUCCAGGGGUAGGGGUGAAAUCCAUUAAUCCUUGGGGGACCACCGGUAGCGAAGGCGUCUGACCAGACCGAGUCCGACGGUGAGGGACGAAGGCUAGGGGCGCGAACCGGAUUAGAUACCCCC